rnacentral:misc_RNA from 1 species
GCCGGCCGGACCGACUGC